rnacentral:rRNA from 1 species
CAGAGACUGCGAGCGUUAUUCGGAUUCACUGGGCGUAAAGGGUGCGCAGGCGGCCGUGUGUGUGAGGCGUGAAAGCCCGGGGCUUAACCCCGGAAUUGCACCUCAAACUACAUGGCUAGAGCAUUGGAGAGGGUAGCGGAAUUCACGGUGUAGCAGUGAAAUGCGUAGAUAUCGUGAGAAACACCAGAGGCGAAGGCGGCUACCUGGACAAUUGCUGACGCUCAGGCACGAAAGCGUGGGGAGCAAAAGGGAUUAGAUACCCCUGUAGUCCACGCCCUAAACGGUGCACACUAGGUCUUCGCCGGAUCGACCCCAUCAGGGCCCAAGCUAACGCGUUAAGUGUGCCGCCUGAGGACUACGGCCGCAAGGCUA